rnacentral:rRNA from 1 species
CGUGUAGGCGGGAAGAUAAGUCAGAUGUGAAAUUCCAUGGCUCAACUGUGGCGCUGCAUCUGAAACUAUUUUUCUUGAGUGAUGGAGAGGAAAGCGGAGUUCCUAGUGUAGCGGUGAAAUGCGUAGAUAUUAGGAGGAACACCAGUGGCGAAGGCGGCUUUCUGGACAUUAACUGACGCUGAGGCGCGAAAGCGUGGGGAGCAAACAGGAUUAGAUACCCUGGUAGUCCACGCUGUAAACGAUGGAUACUAGGUGUAGGAGGUAUCGACCCCUUCUGUGCCGGAGUUAACACAAUAAGUAUCCCACCUGGGGAGUACGGCCGCAAGGUUGAA